UACAGAGGUCUCAAGCGUUGUUCGGAUUCAUUGGGCGUAAAGGGGGCGUAGGCGGCGCGGUAAGGCGGGUGUGAAAUCUCGGGGCUUAACUCCGAAACUGCAUUCGAUACUGCCGUGCUUGAGGACUGGAGAGGAGACUGGAAUUUACGGUGUAGCGGUGAAAUGCGUAGAUAUCGUAAGGAAGACCAGUGGCGAAGGCGGGUCUCUGGACAGUUCCUGACGCUGAGGCACGAAGGUCAGGGGAGCAAACGGG
rnacentral:rRNA from 1 species